CAAUUAUUUUAAUUUGUGGAGAAAUACAGCACGGGCCGUUGUCUAAAAUGUCUUUAUCCUUGCCAGAAUGCUGUUAAGGUUAUUGCCCAGAUAUAUGACUGUGCAAGUGUCAUGUCAGGUCAUAUUAAUGGAGUCCAAUAAAAAUUUAAAGACUUAUCCUUGUGCAAUUUACACCCACUGCAUGGCACACCGACCAAACUUAGUUGUUGUUGAUACGUGCAAAAAUAUUAAGGUUUUUUUAACGUACUUGAAGCUGUUAUGUCCAUUUUUAAAGACCUUCAAAAAAUUCAAAGUUAUGUGGUAUACAAUCUAAAUUAGGUUUUAAAAAAAGGCAAUAUGUUAAGGGUAUGUGAUACUAGAUGGGUUUGCAGGUACAAAAGUUGCGAGGCUAUGUUAAACAAUUUUAAUGCAAUUGUGAAUAUCUUGAAAAAAAAAUUAAUGAACAAUCCGAUAAAGAUACUGCUCAAGAUUUUGGCAUAUUAAGUUCUAUAUAAAAAUGUGAAUUCAUUAUUUUUCUUAUUAUUUUUAAUGAUGUUUUGAGUAUAAUGAACAUAUUAAGUAAUAGUUUACAAAAUAAAAACAUUUGAAACAUCAAGAACAGAUGAAGAAUUCCAUAAUGUUUGGAAAAAUUUAGUUACAUUUGCUGAUGAAAAUAACAUAAACUUACAAAUUUCAACUAUUGUUUAAAUUUAUAAUAAAAGGAUCCAAAUGUCAAAGAAAGGAAACUCAAAAUCUUCAUGAUUAUGUGGCGUUUGCAACUAGUGGAGCAGAAAAUGAAGUAGUAGAUUCAAACACUACGGUUGAAAUGUACUGGCGAAGAGUAGCCUA